CAGUCGCCGCGGGAAUACGUAGGGUGCGAGCGUUAAUCGGAAUUACUGGGCGUAAAGCGUGCGCAGGCGGUUCGUUAAGACAGAUGUGAAAUCCCCGGGCUUAACCUGGGAACUGCAUUUGUGACUGACGGGCUAGAGUAUGGCAGAGGGGGGUAGAAUUCCACGUGUAGCAGUGAAAUGCGUAGAGAUGUGGAGGAAUACCGAUGGCGAAGGCAGCCCCCUGGGCCAAUACUGACGCUCAUGCACGAAAGCGUGGGGAGCAAACAGGAUUAGAUACCCCCGUAGUCCCUGUCUCUUAUAC
rnacentral:rRNA from 1 species